rnacentral:rRNA from 1 species
UCCGGAGGGUGCGAGCGUUGUCCGGAAUUACUGGGCGUAAAGCGUGCGCAGGCGGCUUCUCAAGUCAGUGGUGAAAGCCCGGAGCUCAACUCCGGAACUGCCAUUGAAACUGUGGAGCUUGAGGACGAGAGAGGUGAGUGGAAUUCCCAGUGUAGAGGUGAAAUUCGUAGAUAUUGGGAAGAACACCGGUGGCGAAGGCGGCUCACUGGCUCGUUUCUGACGCUCAGGCACGAUAGCGUGGGGAUCAAACAGG